rnacentral:miRNA from 1 species
UUUCCGGCUCGAGUGGGUGUGU